UACGGAGGGCGCAAGAGUUGUUCGGAAUCAUUGGGCGUAAAGCGCGUGUAGGCGGUCUGGUCAGUCGGGUGUGAAAUACCGGAGCUCAACUCCGGAACUGCAUUCGAUACUGCCAGGCUAGAGUCCCUGAGAGGGUGGUGGAAUUCCUGGUGUAGAUGUGAAAUUCGUAGAUAUCGGGAGGAACCCCAGCGGCGAAGGCGGCCAACUGGACGGUGACUGACGCUGAGACGCGAAAUCGUGGGGAGCAAACAGG
rnacentral:rRNA from 1 species